CUGUGAAAAGAGAGUCCUGCCAAGGGCUACGAGGCAGAAAACUGAUAUUAUUAAAGUGGUCUUCUGAACGCAACUGUCUGCAAGGUCCUAAGAGUUCUAAGUUGAAUAAGGCCCACUCCCUCCCUUCCAGGACUUUAGCUGAGGUUGGUUGGGGCAGAAGUCGGGCAAGACUCAUUGGAACGGAUUAACAGAGACAGAAUCCAGAAGCAAUGGGAUGAAUUCCAAGUAUAGAAAAGACACACUUGGUCUGAGGGUAUGUUUCAGCUCAGGCAUGCUGCCAGCAGGACCACGUAAAGCUAGAUUUUUCUACGCUAGUCCGUUUGCACGAUCUGGACUCAGAAGAGAUUUAAGUUUCAAAUCUGGCUUUGUCAGUUAAUGCUUGUGGGAUCUCAACCAUAUCACUGACCUCUCUGAACAUGCUUCCAUAUUUCUACAAAGGAAACAAUAGGUGACUCUGCUGAGUUGAGCACUUGCGAGUACCAAGCAGUGAGGACCUGAGGCACAGACGCUAACCAGCUUGCUGGAGAUCACACACUCAUGAGUGGCAGAGUGGGGCUUGGAACCGGGCAGCCUGGCUCUGGAGCCCUCACUCCAUCCACACACCAUGCUGGGACCCAGUCGAGUGACCAGCAGACCGGUUGUGUGGGUUAGGUGGAAUGGUAGAUAUAAACCACACAGCCCAGCUCCUGACCCGUGCUGGGCCCUCAUUCCUCCUGAAUUCCUUCUCAUUCCUGCCGCCUUCUGAAGAAGGUGCCUUGCUUCCCCUUCGCCUUCUGCCGUGAUUGUAACUUUCCUGAGGCCUCCCCAGCCAUGCUGAACUCAUGAGGCAGGAAAGGAUAGAAGCCUUUCAGAGCCUGAGCCAAGUUCCUCCUCACAGAAGCACAGAGGACACUUACUCCAUCUCUGAAAAAGCUGCCCACACCCCACCUCCAUCCAGCCUUCCAAAAGCCACCACGAAUGACCCAUAGGAAGGGCAGAGUGUGCCACUUGCUAGGGACCAGAACCUCUGGGGAGCGGGGAUCAUCUCUGUGUCUCUCUGCUUCAACUGCAUUUAAAAUGAACAUUCUUAAUGAUAAACCUUUCCGUGUGUAAAGAAGGGCGUGGAAAAAUGUAUGUACUGGAGACUCGGGUAGUGACUUUCUAAGUGUGGAAAAGUUUCCCCCAAAGUGUUUCCAAAUAUAGAAAAGUCAUAUAAUAAAUGAUGAGGGCUCAUAAACCUUUCUGGCAGCAGUUGCAGGGGUCAGAACAAGGAAGAAGGAAUUCCCAGCUCCUAGGGCCCCGCAUCCCACACUGUCUUCUGGGCUACUGUGCAACCAAUGGUUCCGUAUCUGUACGUACCCAGGGGCUCCUUAGAUAAAUAAUUGAAGUGAAAUAUCAAA